UGAAACAGAAAACAUAAUUUUAGGACGGGGACGGGAAAAUCGAAUAACUCGACUAAGUCGACUUCGAAAAUAGGUUGACGCAAAAUGUUUGCCUCAAAGUUCCGCCGGGAGCAAAAAGAAAAUGGUCCUCCCGGAACAAUGGUUGCGCCGCCUCAACCCAUGUUUCUCACGGACAUCUAUUGCAGACGGACGCAGUGUUUGGCCAUUGAUAAACUUUGCCAGAAAUGACAGAGGAGCGUCUCUCGACUGUGGACCAAUCCUGAUGUAGUCCACCUUUAGAAGGACUCCGAGAUGAGAAGAUUCCAGUAUCGGCGCUGAUGACAAAUUGUUGCUGACCUUCAGUGGAUUUACAGCUUCCUGACGGGCAGGACACAGCAGGUGAGGCUGGGGGAGACCAUCUCAUCCAUCACUGGGGCGCCCCAGGGUUGUGUCCUCUCUCCGCUGCUCUUCUCUCGCGACACGAACGACUGCGCCUCGACGCGCCCGGCUGUCAAACGCCUGAAGUUUGCAGACGACACCACUGUUAUCGGCCUCGUCAACGAGUCUGCGUAUCGACAGGAAGCGGAGCGGCCGGAGCCGCGGUGCGGCCGACGCGACCUGGAGCCGAACACGCUCGAGACUCUCGAGAUGAUCGUGGACUUCAGGAGGCAUCCUUCUCCACGGCUGCCCUUCACGCUGUCCAGCUGCCUGGUGUCACCCGUCGAGACCUUCGCGUUCCUGGGAAUUUACAGUCUCUCAGGACCUGAAGUGGGAGACCAACAUCAACUCCGUCCUCAAAAAGGCCCAGCAGAGGAUGUAGUUCCUGCGGCUUUUGAGGAAGCACGGCCUGCCACGGGAGCUGCUGAGGCAGUUCUACACAGCGGCCAUCGAAUCGGUCCCGUGUUCUUCCAUCACAGUCUGGUUUGGCGCUGCUACAAAAAAGGACAAACUCCGACUGCAACGGACAAUCAAAACUGCUGAAAGGAUUGUCGGUACCCCCCUACCCACCCUUGAGGACUUGAGGACAAGAGUGUGCAAAUCCUCUCAGACCCUCCGCAUCCCAGUCACCGGCUCUUCCGGCUCCUUCCCUCAGGUAGGCGCUACCGAUCAAUGCAAACUAGAACUCGCAGACAUUCCAACAGCUUCUUCCCUCUUCCCAUUAACUUAAGCAGUCAACUUACAAUUUCAUAGCAACAUACUGCCAAUUUUUUUGCCUCGAGUUCGUUGUCACAUUUCUGUGGGGCCAAUUCAAUAUCACUCGUGCGCUCACUGUAGUCGUCUCGCCACGCUGCACGAUUUGCAUAUCUGUUGUUGUGCCUGAGUAGCAUCUGCACCAUUUGCAUAAUCGCUGAGUAGUAUCUGCAACAUUUGCACAAUCGACAUUGUCCCAGAUUAUCGCGCUACUAGUCACUUUAAACCGCAUACACUCGUUGAAGUCUCGGCGCCCUUUGCACGAUGGUGAUUGCACCGGACUAUUGCGAGAUUAGUCAUUCAAUCUGCUCUAAGUGCUAGAGGACUCUGCAUCUUUUUGCACAAUUGUCAAAAAUAAAUAAAUACAUUUGUACCGGCACUACCGGAUAACCAGCAACCUUUUAUGGCUCAGCGACUGUUUUUCUCAAUGUCUUUCUGUCUCCAAAUUGUCAAUUGUCGUAGUGGAGCGGCUCUAACUACCGGAGACAAAUUCCUUGUGUGUCUUUUGGACAUACUUGGCAAAGUAAAGAUGAUUCUGAUUCUGAUGUUAUGUGUUGGCUUUAGAUGGGAAAAACUUUGGGAUAAAAUUGUCAGACAAAAUGUAGAAAAAGUGAAGCAUGCAAACACUUUCUCGAUUGCACGCAUGUGAUUUCUUGGUUUUUCAUUUCGGAUUAAUUCGCAAAAAUCUCCACAAUAUCUUUCAUGUUGUCAUUGUGAUGUGUUUUGGGUGGUUUGUAGGGAAAAGUAUGACUUUAUUCCAUUUUGGAAUAAGGCUGUAAAAUAACGUGGAAAAAGUGACUCGCUUUCAAGAAUUUCCAAAUGCACAAUAUCCACGUGAUUUUUUGGUUUUGUUUUGAAAUUUGAUAAUUGAUAUUUAUAUUUGGAAGAAAAAAACUGUGUAGUCAUUGUAGGGUGUUCA